GGUGAUUUUUGCGGUUGCGACUGUUCUACGUUAAACUACCUUGUUGUUAUCAAAACGGAGGCGUCAUCAACAACAAUUGCACGCUUCCUUGUCACCGAGCGUCAGCCAAUGUUUAAAGAGCCUAUGCCAUUCUUGAAGGCGACUAAUCUUCCAAAUCAACCUGGAGAAGG